rnacentral:rRNA from 1 species
GAUGAACGCUGGCGGCGUGCCUAAUACAUGCAAGUAGAACGCUGAAGGCGGAGCUUGCUCUUCUGGAUGAGUUGCGAACGGGUGAGUAACGCGUAGGUAACCUGCCUGGUAGCGGGGGAUAACUAUUGGAAACGAUAGCUAAUACCGCAUGACAACAGUUAUUGCAUGAUAACUGUUUAAAAGGGGCAACUGCUCCACUACCAGAUGGACCUGCGUUGUAUUAGCUAGUUGGUGAGGUAACGGCUCACCAAGGCGACGAUACAUAGCCGACCUGAGAGGGGGAUCGGCCACACUGGGACUGAGACACGGCCCAGACUCCUACGGGAGGCAGCAGUAGGGAAUCUUCGGCAAUGGACGGAAGUCUGACCGAGCAACGCCGCGUGAGUGAAGAAGGUUUUCGGAUCGUAAAGCUCGGUUGUAAGAGAAGAACGAGGGUGAGAGUGGAAAGUUCACACUGUGACGGUAUCUUACCAGAAAGGGACGGCUAACUACGUG